rnacentral:lncRNA from 1 species
AGACUGACCAUGAGAAAUCCUGGGAGCUCAGGAAGGAAGGAGCCGCCCAGAAGCAGGAACAGGGAGUUGGUGGGGAAGACCAGAAAUCAGGUCUGUGAAGGUUCCAGAGAGCCUUGGCAGGUGCGUGGGGGGCUGAGAUGGGGGAGGGGCAUUGGAGGAAGUGGGUGCUCUGUGGAAUGUCCACUGUGAUGUACCAUGUUCCAGGGCUGGGGAUUGGUGGAGAGGGAGUAUAAAGCCCCAGGGUUGCUUAGGCAGCGCCCAGGCAGGAGAAGGUGUGCUGGAAACCAGAGCCCUGGUCUCUGUCUAAUUGCUCCUGUGCCUCCCACUUUCUGGCCCUGAGUGUCCUGUGGCUUCCCUGAUAGACUUUCUCCCUGACUUGUAGCUGAACCUCCCACUCGCCCUUGAAGGCUUGGUUUGAACCAGAUAUUUUCGCAGACCCCCUCCUCCAGGUGCCCAACAUAUCCUGUUUCCCUCCCUCCCUUUCCCUCCCAUCCUCCUCCCCAACUCAGAACCCACCCCAUCCCCAUCCCCUUCCCUCCCCCAGCCCUAAGCCACCCCCACCUCUGUCCUGGCCACCUCAGGGCACCCUGUGAGGACCAGGACAUGCGGGUACAGUGGCUGCUCUUUUGGCUCCUCCUGCUGAAGUUUUCAGCCAUCAAUCCACCCAUGGGAGCCAAAAAAUUGGAUAUGUGGAUAUGCCUGUUUACGUCAAAAAAAAAAAAAGACUGUACAUUUGGAAUGCCUAAAAGCACUACCAGCCAUGCAGAAAACAUGAGACUGGUAACUUCCAAUCUUUUUGAAGCAGUGGAAUCCCCUGGUGAUAUCUGAGGGGUGUGAUACCUCUUGGAGGGGGUUGAUGAUUUCUAAAGAUUAUCAUUUUUACUGAAAUAUUGUAAAUGUCACUGACCUUUUCAUUAUUUCAACUAUUAUCAUUCCAGGUGAUCAUUUUUCCACCUGAUUAUUUGUAUCCCGGGCCUGACUUUCUUGGCAUUCUGUGGAUGCUUAUCACUAUUGUGUUUCUGGGAGUUUCUACAGUUGGUCUUUUCCUCUGAAAAAUUAGCCUGUGUGAGAGUAUACUAACUUCCUGUAGAGUCA